rnacentral:rRNA from 1 species
UACGGAGGGUGCAAGCGUUGCUCGGAAUUAUUGGGCGUAAAGGGUAGGUAGGUGGUCUCGUUUGUCUGGGGUGAAAGCCUUGAGCUUAACUCAAGAAGUGCCCCAGAAACGGCGAGACUAGAGUCCUGGAGAGGGUCGUGGAAUUCCCGGUGUAGCGGUGAAAUGCGUAGAGAUCGGGAGGAACACCAGAGGCGAAGGCGGCGACCUGGACCAGCACUGACGCUGAGUGCGCGAAAGCCAGGGGAGCAAACGGG